AUUGAACGCUGGCGGCAGGUCUAACACAUGCAAGUCGAGCGGAGCUGCGGACGGGUGAGUAAUGCAUAGGAAUCUGCCUGGUAGAGGGGGCUAACGUCCGUAAGCGGGAGCUAAUCUCGCACACUAUCAGCUGUGCCUAGGUGGGAUUAGCUAGUUGGUGGGGUAAGGGCCUACCAAGGCGACGAUCCGUAACUGGUCUGAGAGGCUGACCAGUCACACUGGAACUGAGAAACGGUCCAGACUCCUACGGGAGGCAGCAGUGGGGAAUAUUGGACAAUGGGCGAAAGCCUGAUCCAGCCAUGCCGCGUGGGUGAAGAAGGUCUGCGGAUUGUAAAGCACUGUAAUUUGGGAGGCGGUACCAACACAAUAAGCACCGGCUAACUUCGUGCCAGCAGCCGCGGUAAUAC
rnacentral:rRNA from 1 species